CAAGAAAAGAUGCCAAAGGAAUACUUUGAGUAUGUUCCUGAACACAAGUUUAUUUACAGAUUUGUCCAUGUUCUUUUUAAAGCCACAAACCUAACAGCUGAAUUUGCAAUAGUAACUUUGAUUUACAUAGAAAGACUCAAGUUAUGCGGAGAUAGACCUUUGCCCGACCAACUGGAAGAGGAUUGUCAUGGGAGCCAUUCUUCUCACCUCCAAAGUUUGGAAAGAUGUGACUAUAUGGAAUAGGGAACACUGCAGGCUCUUUGUGAACACUAGCAUUGAAGGCAUGAAUGAGCUUGAAAGACAGUUUUUGCAGCUAACUGACUAUAACGUCGAAGUUUCUGGAAGUGUUUAUGCCAAGUACUAUUUUGAUCUUCGAUCCUUGGCAAAGGACAAUAGCUUGCAUUUGCCAGUUUAUCUUCUCAACAAAGAAAGGGCACAGAACCUGGAAGCUAUUUCAAGGAUGGAAGACGCCAAAAUCUUUUAUAGUGCUACCAUGAGAAGGUCCUUCAGCGCUGAUAAUUUCAUUAAUCUUCAGCGCUCUAAAGCCAUUAUCUCUUGA
rnacentral:lncRNA from 1 species